GGACAAGCUCAGGUGUGCCCUCACUGGGGACGAGCUCAGGUGUCUCCUCACAAGGACAUGGGGACAAGCUCAGGUGUCUCCUCACUGGGGACAAGCUCAGGUGUCUCCUCACAGGGACAUGGGGACAAGUUCAGGUGUCUCCUCAGUGGGACAUGGGGACAAGCUCAGGUGUGUCCUCACUGGGACAUGGGGACAAGCUCAGGUGUCUCCUCACAGGGACAUGGGGACAAGCUCAGGUGUGCCCUCACUGGGGACAAGCUCAGGUGUCUCCUCACAGGGACAUGGGGACAAGCUCAGGUGUCUCCUCAGUGGGACAUGGGGACAAGCUCAGGUGUCUCCUCACUGGGACAUGGGGACAAGCUCAGGUGUCUCCUCACAGGGACAUGGGGACAAGCUCAGGUGUCUCCUCACUGGGACAUGGGGACAAGCUCAGGUGUCUCCUCACUGGGGACAAGCUCAGGUGUCCC